GGUAUAGCUCAGUGGUAGAGUAGGCGCUUAGCAUGUGCAAGGUCCUGGGUUCAAUUCCCAGAACUGCCA
rnacentral:tRNA from 1 species